CCCUGUGUAGCUCAGUGGGUAGAGCAGGGUGUUGACAGUGCCAGGUUUGUGGGUUAGAUUCCCACCGGGGA
rnacentral:tRNA from 1 species